GGUUUCCUCAGCAGUGCCCCCGAGCAGGGACCGCGCCAGCCAGCAGAAACAGCUAGUUGUUGUCUACAGUGAAGAAUAAUUGGAAGCAUGGUGCCUGCUUCUUUUCCUGUGGGGGGAAGUCACGACAUGUACUUCUGACUCUAUGCUUGCCUUGAGGAACAAUGGCAUGACACAGGGAUGUGGACGUUUUUCAACCAGAUGCUUCGGUACAGCAGUGUCGGCACACAAACUUUCCAUUUCAUAGUUUAAGUCGAAGGAUUGCUAAGGCAAGAGGAUACAGUUGUAUACACACUCUCCCUGUUAGGACUACUCUCACCGAAGCCUUUCUCCCAGCUGCCACCCUCAGUGUGAUUCCCUGGGACUUCACUGAUGCAGCUCCUUCACUGCUGGACAGCUCCUCACCGCCUACA
rnacentral:lncRNA from 1 species